AUGAGCCCCAACCUCUUUUGUGUGAUUCUUUGUCUGCUGGUGGCAGCAGGUCCCAUGGAUGCAGCAGUCACCCAGAAGCCAAGAUACCAUAUUAUACGAGCAGGAAGCAAGAUGGUCCUGGAUUGUUCUCAGGAUAUGAACCAUUUGAGAAUGUUCUGGUAUCGGCAAGAUCUGGGACAGGGGCUGAGGCUGAUCCAUUAUUCAAAUGGCGUCGGUAGCACUGGCGAAGGGGAUGUCACGGAGGGGUACAGUGUCUCCCGAAAGAAGAAUGACCAUUUCCCCCUGACCCUGGAGCCGGCCAGCACCAAGCAGACCUCCCUGUACCUCUGUGCCAGCAGUGAACCCACAGCACGGCACAGUCAGCUGCUCUCCGCACGAAAAGCUCGGCCACAGGCGUGA